UACGUAGGUGGCAAGCGUUGUCCGGAUUUACUGGGUGUAAAGGGCGUGCAGCCGGGAAGACAAGUCAGAUGUGAAAUCCCGCGGCUCAACCGCGGAACUGCAUUUGAAACUGUUUUUCUUGAGUACCGGAGAGGUCAUCGGAAUUCCUUGUGUAGCGGUGAAAUGCGUAGAUAUAAGGAAGAACACCAGUGGCGAAGGCGGAUGACUGGACGGCAACUGACGGUGAGGCGCGGAAGCGUGGGGAGCAAACAGG
rnacentral:rRNA from 1 species